GCGGGUGUAGCUCAGUUGGUUAGAGCGCUGGCCUGUCACGCCAGAGGCCGCGGGUUCAAGUCCCGUCACUCGCGCCA
rnacentral:tRNA from 2 species